UCUUCCGUAGUAUAGUGGUUAGUAUAGGGGCUUGUCAACUUGAUCGUGAUCAGCGCCCUUGACCCGGGUUCGAAUCCCGGCGGGAGAG